UACGGGAGGCAGCAGUGGGGAAUAUUGCACAAUGGGCGAAAGCCUGAUGCAGCUAUGCCGCGUGUAUGAAGAAGGCCUUAGGGUUGUAAAGUACUUUCAUCGGGGAGGAAAAACAAAACUAAUAAUUUUAUUUCUUGACGUUACCCGAAAAAGAAGCACCGGCUAACUCCGUGCCAGCAGCCGCGGUAAUACGGAGGGUGCUAGCGUUAAUCAGAAUUACUGGGCGUAAAGAGCACGUAGGUGGUUUUUUUAAAGUCAGAUGUGAAAUCCCUGGGCUUAACCUAGGAACUGCAUUUUGAAACUGAAAUACUAGAGUAUCGUAGAGGGAGGUAGAAUUCUAGGUGUAGCGGUGAAAUGCGUAGAUAUCUGGAGGAUACCUGUGGCGAAAGCGGCCUCCUAAACGAAUACUGACACUGAGGUGCGAAAGCGUGGGGAGCAAACAGGGAUUAGAUACC
rnacentral:rRNA from 1 species